rnacentral:rRNA from 1 species
UACGAGAGGUCCAAACGUUAUUCGGAAUUACUGGGCUUACAGAGUUCGUAGGCGGCUCUCCAAGUGAGGUGUGAAGGCCCUCGGCUCAACCGAGGAACUGCGCUUCAAACUGUAGAACUAGAGGGAGAUAGAGGUGAGCAGAACUGAUGGUGGAGCGGUGAAAUGCGUUGAUAUCAUCAGGAAUACCGGAGGCGAAGGCGGCGUUCUGGACUGCAACUGACACUGAGGAACGAAAGCCAGGGGAGCAAACGGG